rnacentral:rRNA from 1 species
GACGAACGCUGGCGGCGUGCCUAACACAUGCAAGUCGAGCGGGAACCUCAGGAGGGGUAACCCUCCUGAGGGGAGAGCGGCGAACGGGUGAGUAACACGUGGGCAACCUGCCCCGGACACCGGGAUAACCCAGGGAAACCUGAGCUAAUACCGGAUACUCCGGCGAGAUCGCAUGGUCGCGCCGGGAAAGCUCCGACGGUCCGGGAUGGGCCCGCGGCCUAUCAGCUUGUUGGUGGGGUAACGGCCCACCAAGGCGACGACGGGUAGCUGGCCUGAGAGGACGGCCAGCCACACUGGGAAUGAGACACGGCCCAGACUCCUACGGGAGGCAGCAGUGGGGGAUCUUGCGCUAAUGCGCGAAAGCGUGACGCAGCGACGCCGCGUGGGGGAUGAAGGCCCUCGGGUUGUAAACCCCUUUCGGCAGGGACGAAGCGAAAGUGACGGUACCUGCAGAAGAAGUCCCGGCUAACUACGUGCCAGCCGCCGCGGUAAAAC